UACAGAGGUCUCAAGCGUUGUUCGGAUUCAUUGGGUUUAAAGGGUGCGUAGGAGGGCAGGUAAGUCAGUGGUGAAAUCCCCGAGCUUAACUUGGGAACUGCCGUUGAUACUAUCUGUCUUGAAUAUUGUGGAGGUGAGCGGAAUAUGUCAUGUAGCGGUGAAAUGCUUAGAUAUGACAUAGAACACCAAUUGCGAAGGCAGCUCGCUACACAUAUAUUGACUCUGAGGCACGAAGCGUGGGGAUCAAACAG
rnacentral:rRNA from 1 species